UACGUAGGGUCCGAGCGUUGUCCGGAAUUAUUGGGCGUAAAGGGCUCGUAGGCGGUUUGUCGCGUCGGGAGUGAAAACACCGGGCUUAACUCGGUGCUUGCUUUCGAUACGGGCAGACUAGAGGUAUGCAGGGGGAGAAUGGAAUUCCUGGUGUAGCGGUGAAAUGCGCGGAUAUCAGGAGGAACACCGGUGGCGAAGGCGGUUCUCUGGGCAUUACCUGACGCUGAGGAGCGAAAGUGUGGGGAGCGAACAGG
rnacentral:rRNA from 1 species